AUUGAACGCUGGCGGCAGGCCUACACAUGCAAGUCGAACGGUAACAGGAAGAAGCUUGCUUCUUUGCUGACGAGUGGCGGACGGGUGAGUAAUGUCUGGGAAACUGCCUGAUGGAGGGGGAUAACUACUGGAAACGGUAGCUAAUACCGCAUAAAGUCGCAAGACCAAAGAGGGGGACCUUCGGGCCCCUUGCCCUCGGAUGUGCCCAGAUGGGAUUAGCUAGUAGGGGGGGUAACGGCUCACCUAGGCGACGAUCCCUAGCUGGUCUGAGAGGAUGACCAGCCACACUGGAACUGAGACACGGUCCAGACUCCUACGGGAGGCAGCAGUGGGGAAUAUUGCACAAUGGGCGCAAGCCUGAUGCAGCCAUGCCGCGUGUAUGAAGAAGGCCUUCGGGUUGUAAAGUACUUUCAGCGGGGAGGAAGGGAGUAAAGUUAAUACCUUUGCUCAUUGACGUUACCCGCAGAAGAAGCACCGGCUAACUCCGUG
rnacentral:rRNA from 1 species